rnacentral:rRNA from 1 species
AUUAAUGUUAGCUGUCCACAUGUGUAAAUAGCAUGUGAUAGCAAGGGCUGGGCAAGACCGGUGCCAGCCGCCGCGGUAACACCGGUAGCCCGAGUGGUGAUCACUAUUAUUGGGUCUACAGG